GAGAAGAGGACAGGAGCCAGAUCAAACAAGCAGGCCAUUUGGAGGUGGGAAAGGUUUUAAGUUUCCUCCUGGGCUCCUACCAUCACGGCCACGCCCACUGCCCUGAUAAGACCCUUGUGAUUAUUGUUCUGAGGCUGCUGGACAGGCAUCUACUGGGAUGAGGAGAGAGAGAGAGAGAGAGAGAAAAGCAGCUGCUGGGAGGACCAGGUGCUCGCAAAGGUAUUUCCAGUCACGCGCAGUAACAGACCAGCCAAGGACCAGGACUGGAGUUCUGUUCUACAACGGUGAACAGUGAAGGUCUCCAAAGGUAGGGACUCAUGUCUCCAAAAGAGGGCUAGUGGCCACCAGCGGGGCGGGGUCAGGGGAGGAUGCUAGGAUGGCGGUCCCCAGGCUUUGGACAUGUGAGUG
rnacentral:lncRNA from 1 species